rnacentral:rRNA from 1 species
AUUGAACGCUGGCGGCAGGCCUAACACAUGCAAGUCGAGCGAGCGGCGGACGGGUGCGUAAUGUCUGGGAAACUGCCUGAUGCAGGGGGAUAACUACUGGAAACGGUAGCUAAUACCGCAUACCAUCAGAUGUGCCCAGAUGGGGUUAGCUAGUAGGUGGGGUAACGGCUCACCUAGGCGACGAUCCCUAGCUGGUCUGAGAGGAUGACCGGCCACACUGGAACUGAGACACGGUCCAGACUCCUACGGGAGGCAGCAGUGGGGAAUAUUGCACAAUGGACGAAAGCCUGAUGCAGCCAUGCCGCGUGAGUGAAGAAGGCCUUCGGGUUGUAAAGCACUGUCGGCGGGGAGGCGUUACCCGCAGAGGAAGCACCGGCUAACUCCGUGCCAGCAGCCGCGGUAAUAC